rnacentral:tRNA from 1 species
GUGGCUCAGUGGUAGAGUGCUUGCCUUGUAUGCAUGAGGUCUUGGGUUCGAUUCCUCAGUAACACA